AUGAAGCUUACUGAAAAACCAAUGCCAUGAGGCAUCCGUCUCUAAAUCCCCAAUUCUAAAAGCAAGAGGAUAUAUAUUUCGAUUUCCGUCAAAUGCAUUGGCAACAAAAAGGACACCCUUAUACUUACAUUUUAAAUGCGUGGCAUCCACAGCAAUGACUGGCCGCAUCGAAGAUUGAAACCCUCUAAUACAUGCCCCAACAGCCAUAAAAAAAUACAAAAAGUGAUUGUUCUCAUCGGUGUGGAUGUAUGUCCUUGUGCCGGAAUUCACACGCUCUAAUUCGUGACAAUAAGCUGGAAGGAGAGAAUAUGCCUCCUCUACUGAACCUCUAAUGGACAUUAGAGCUAACUCCCUCGAUCUCCAAGCUUUGCAAUAAUUAAUGGUGACACCAAAGUUUUGUUUCACAUCUCUGAUUAUAUCACUUGGUGUGUAUAUUGUGCGAGAAUCUUUCAACUUCCGCUUCACUACAUUACCAACGAGUUUAGCACUUGUGUGACGAUGCUUGUCAUGUAUAAACUCAUAUCACAUUCAUGGACCGGAUUAUAUUUCACAAUCAUGAAGUUCUUUUCUCCAUAACUAGAUGCACGAAGCCGCCAUGGGCAUGGACCUUGAGAACAAACCACAACCAAUCGACUCUUACAAGACUGCUUCACCUUAAAUUCAAAGUGAC
rnacentral:lncRNA from 1 species